CCUAAUUUAGCUUAAUAAAAGCAUCUCGCUUACACCGAGAGGAUAUCUGUUAAAACCAGAUUAUUAUGA
rnacentral:tRNA from 1 species